GCUUACGGCCAUACCAACCUGGCUAUGCCCGAUCUCGUCUGCUCUCGGAAGCCUAAGCAGGUUUGGGCCUGGUUAGUACUUGGAUGGGAGACCGCCUGGGAAUACCAGGUGCUGUAAGCU
rnacentral:rRNA from 1 species